ACAUUGUGGGGGAGGGCUGUGAGCAAUGGGAGCCUUAUGCUUGCGGUUGCUACAGGAGGAGGGCGAUCAGGUGCUCCCCAGAUAGCUUUCCAAGAUGCUCUCAAAAUCAUAUCCUGCCCCAUUGCCUCAUCCUGCUCAUCGGACCCUAAAACAAGGUUUGGCUUGCCUUUGAGAAAUCUGCUUGACCUGAAACAGUAGGUGAUAUACCUAGAGUCCACAAAUCUUCUCCCAGAGUUCUAUUUCCUGGGCAUCUCUCUACCUAACUCAGGAUUUCUUCUCUUCUGGCUAAGAACAGAUGUGCUAUCCAAAGCUGACAUUCCUCUUGAAGAACAGAGGAAGCAACUACAAGCUCUCCAUUCCCUUCCAACCCAUCUGUGCCUUCCAAGGAAAAUUUACCCAGGCAGGCUCCCAGUUGGCUUUUUACAGAUAACCCUGGGAUCCAUCUGAAGUAUCUUUUGAAGUAUGGCAUCUGGAAAGAACAGCAGUGAUGUUUCCCCCAAAGAGCCAAUUAUCCUAGCAUCAUUUAGCCAAUGAUUUAUAAAAAUCUGAUAAACUACUCUGAGGACUUCCCUGGUGGCGCAGUGGUUAAGAAUCUGCCUGCCAAUGCAGGGGACACGGGUUCGAGCCCUGGUCCAGGAAGAUCCCACAUGC